rnacentral:rRNA from 1 species
AUUGAACGCUGGCGGCAUGCCUUACACAUGCAAGUCGAACGGCAGCACGGGAGCAAUCCUGGUGGCGAGUGGCGAACGGGUGAGUAAAGUAUCGGAACGUGCCCAGUCGUGGGGGAUAACGUAGCGAAAGUUACGCUAAUACCGCAUACGAUCUAUGAAUGAAAGCGGGGAUCGCAAGACCUCGCGCGAUUGGAGCGGCCGAUAUCAGAUUAGGUAGUUGGUGGGGUAAAGGCUAACCAAGCCGACGAUAUGUAGCUGGUCUGAGAGGACGACCAGCCACACUGGGACUGAGACACGGCCCAGACUCCUACGGGAGGCAGCAGUGGGGAAUUUUGGACAAUGGGCGAAAGCCUGAUCCAGCCAUGCCGCGUGCAGGAUGAAGGCCUUCGGGUUGUAAACUGCUUUUGUACGGAACGAAAAGGUUUGGGCUAAUAAGCUGAGCUCAUGACGGUACCGUAAGAAUAAGCACCGGCUAACUACGUGCCAGCCGCCGCAGUAA